GUCCCUGUAGCGCAAUGGAUAACGCGUUGGACUUCUAAUCUAAAGCUCGUGGACUUGAGUCCUACCAGGGAUA